CUUACUAAUUAGAUCCAAACAAGAAUACAUACAGCAAAAGAACAACUUGUCAAACCUUCUGCCCAGGCUUUGAUCAUUUCUUGAUAUGAUAUCAAGUAUGUUAUAAUGAAGUUGAUAACAACUCAAUUUGCUUGCUGAUGAUUCCUCAAUCCUGAACUGCAUGUUCAAUUGGUACCUCCUAGCUCGAAAGUCAUUUAAUUACAUAUAGGCACAAAAUGUGCAGAGAAUCCGGUCACAUGUUGCCGACCCUUGAAUGAGUUGCGGAAUGACCGUUAACUCAAUGGUGACUUGCUUCAUAAUGUUGAUAACAGGAAAUGAUAACGCAAUCCAUUACUAGUAUGAAAUGGGUAUUCGAGAUGCCCGCCGUAUUUCUCUCUCUAAUCCAAAUAAAACAAAUGUUCUGCUGCGGUAGUGAUAGGUUCCUCAUCCAACCAUAAUAACCAACAAAGAUGCUU
rnacentral:misc_RNA from 1 species